UAUCUUACCUCCUAUACAUUUCCAGGAAUAUGAUUGGUUAAAAGGGUCCGCGUGCAAAAUAUUAUAUUAGGUUAGUAGGGAGGCGGGGCUUAUCUCAUACACGGUUAGUAGUGGAGUUACGUCCCUUUAUAUUUCUUAUUAGGUAAGAAGGGGGCGGGGCUGAUUUCAUACACGGUUAGUAAUGGUGUAAUGUCCCUUUAUAAAAAACAAAACGGUACUGAGAAAAAAUCUUAAAAGUUCGAACAGACGAAGCAAUUGAUGAUUAAGAUUGAAACAAAUUCAUAAAACACAUUUAAACCUUACAAGUCGUUAUUGUUGGCAUCUGUUUUUGUAGGAUCAAUGGAAGUAUUUUCUUAGUGCUAACAUAUUGAAGACUUGCUCAUUUUGAGAAUCACUAGUCUUACUUUCACACGUUAAGAUAGUCGGUAAGAUAAAUUCGUUACAUAGUGUGCUAGUGACGUAAUACGGUAUAUAUGGGGUCAGUAAAUUCCAU
rnacentral:lncRNA from 1 species